UUCAAGGCAGUAUCUACAGCAACCAAAG
rnacentral:sRNA from 1 species